rnacentral:rRNA from 1 species
GACGAACGCUGGCGGCAUGCUUAACACAUGCAAGUGGUGCGACGAACCUUUUAGGGGCAAAGCCGCGAACGGGUGAGUAACACGUGGGCAAUCUGCCCAGUAGACCGGGAUAACUCAAGGAAACCUGAGCUAAUACCGGAUGUGCCGUACUUCCACAAGGAGGUCCGGUAAAGAGAGCUUCGGCUAUUCGCUAUUGGAGGAGCCUGCGGGGCAUUAGGUAGUUGGUGGGGUAAAGGCCUACCAAGCCGACGAUGCCUAGCUGGUCUGAGAGGACGAUCAGCCACACUGGAACUGAGACACGGUCCAGACUCCUACGGGAGGCAGCAGUGGGGAAUCUUGCACAAUGGGCGACAGCCUGAUGCAGCAAUGCCGCGUGAGGGAAGACGGCCUUCGGGUUGUAAACCUCUUUCAGUUGGGAUGAAGGUUGGACGGUGAAUAGCCGCGCCAACUGACCGUACCUUCAGAAGAAGCUCCGGCUAACUACGUGCCAGCAGCCGCGGUAACAC